GUCCACGCCUUAAACGAUGGAUACUAAGUGUCGGCGGGUUACCGCCGGUGCCGCAGCUAACGCAGUAAGUAUCCCGCCUGGGAAGUACGGCCGCAAGGUUGAAACUCAAAGGAAUUGACGGGGGCCCGCACAAGCGGUGGAGCAUGUGGUUUAAUUCGACGCAACGCGAAGAACCUUACCUAGGCUGGACAUGCAGGUAGUAGGAGGGUGAAAGCCCAACGAGGUAGCAAUACCAACCUGCUCAGGUGCUGCAUGGCUGUCGU
rnacentral:rRNA from 1 species